rnacentral:rRNA from 1 species
GACGUAGGGUCCAAGCGUUGUCCGGAUUUACUGGGCGUAAAGAGCGCGUAGGCGGUCUGUUAAGUGUAGAGUGAAAUCUCCAGGGCUCAACCCGGAAACUGCUCUGCAUACUGGCAGACUUGAGGGAUGCAGAGGUGAAUGGAAUUCCUGGUGUAGCGGUGAAAUGCGUUGAUAUCAGGAGGAACACCCAUGGCGAAGGCAGUUCACUGGGCAUCAUCUGACGCUGAGGCGCGAAAGCGUGGGUAGCAAACAGG